rnacentral:rRNA from 1 species
AGUGAACGCUGGCGGUAGGCCUAACACAUGCAAGUCGAACGGCAGCACAGUAAGAGCUUGCUCUUACGGGUGGCGAGUGGCGGACGGGUGAGGAAUACAUCGGAAUCUACUUUUUCGUGGGGGAUAACGUAGGGAAACUUACGCUAAUACCGCAUACGACCUACGGGUGAAAGCAGGGGAUCUUCGGACCUUGCGCGAUUGAAUGAGCCGAUGUCGGAUUAGCUAGUUGGCGGGGUAAAGGCCCACCAAGGCGACGAUCCGUAGCUGGUCUGAGAGGAUGAUCAGCCACACUGGAACUGAGACACGGUCCAGACUCCUACGGGAGGCAGCAGUGGGGAAUAUUGGACAAUGGGCGCAAGCCUGAUCCAGCAAUACCGCGUGGGUGAAGAAGGCCUUCGGGUUGUAAAGCCCUCUUGUUGGGAAAGAAAAGCAGCAGGUUAAUACCCCGCUGUUCUGACGGUACCCAAAGAAUAAGCACCGGCUAACUUCGUG